rnacentral:rRNA from 1 species
CUAAGAAUAUUCCGCAAUGGACGGAAGUCUGACGGAGCGACGCCGCGUGGAUGAAGAAGGCCGAAAGGUUGUAAAGUUCUUUUGCUGGGGAAGAAUAACCGCAGGAGGGAAUGCCUGUGGGAUGACAAGAACCGGCGAAUAAGCCCCGGCCAACUACGUGCCAGCAGCCGCGGUAACACGUAGGGGGCGAGCGUUGUUCGGAAUUACUGGGCGUAAAGGGCAUGUAGGCGGCUUGGAAAGCCUGGCGUGAAAGUCUGCAGCUUAACUGCAGGGGUGCGCUGGGAACUGCUGAGCUUGAGUGACGGAGAGGGAGCUGGAAUUCCUGGUGUAGGGGUGAAAUCUGUAGAUAUCAGGAAGAACACCGAUGGCGAAGGCAAGCUCCUGGCCGAUGACUGACGCUGAGGUGCGAAAGUGUGGGGAUCAAACAGGAUUAGAUACCCUGGUAGUCCACACAGUCAACGAUGUGCACUAGGUGCUGGGGCGGUAGCUUCGGUGCCGGAGCGAACGUGGUAAGUGCACCGCCUGGGGAGUAUGCUCGCAAGGGUGAAACUCAAAUGAAUUGACGGGGGUCAUANCUG